rnacentral:lncRNA from 1 species
UAUGGACAGAAAUAAGAAUAUUUUGGGUUCUUUGAUUACCAAUCUCUAUUUUUGGAAUAUAGAAGGAAUAACUUUUGCACUUAACCAUCUAAACUCUUUGGCCAUGCUAUUCUUUGCAGAUAUACUCCUUUUCACUGAAACAUUUAACUGAAAAAAUAUGAUACUAAAUGGAUGCUACUUAUUUGAAAAUUUAGCUGAAAAAUAUAACUGGGGAAGACCUGUCAGCAGUUUAUUGAUAGCUUGUAAGCCAUAUUUAGAGCUUAAUUUAAUCACCAGCAAUAAGAGUCACAUUAUACUGAAUACACUCAUUGGCAUUGAAAUCCUUAUAUAUUACAAUGACCUAAGCACUAUACUCUUUUAAUCUCACAUCUUGUCUGAAUAUCAUAGACUCAAACUCAAAACAUAUAAUAAUAACUGGCAACUUCAACUACUAGAUCUAUCUAAUCAUAAAGAAGAUGGCCUUAUUGAAUUUCUCUCAUUUCAUGGCUUUUUGUUGUUAAUAACCCAACUGAUCUCACUUAUUUUGACUACAGAGGAAGUGGCUGUAUUGACCUUGUAUUUCAAAGAGUAUCUUCCACCUUCAAACUAAGAAUAGAAAUAUGAUAAAACCUUACCAGAAAACAUCUUGAAAUCUCCCUAGAAUUGAAAUCCCCUGCAAACGGGAUUAUAAAUAAGCCAAAUCAGAUAAAACCAAAACCACCAAGGGUCUAUAUAUCAAUUGAGAAUAUAGACACCACAUACCUAAAAAAUAUACUCACCAAUAUUUUAGAUAAAAAUGAAAUAGUAAAAGCCAUGGACAGCUUCAUCGAUCACCUCAUUACAGCCUGUCAUAUACAAACCAAAAAGAAAAACUGGCACAAACCUUGGUUUGGCUGGGAAUGCAGAAAUUGCAAACAAGAAGCAUUGAGUUUAUUUCGACUUAGCAAAUAAGAUCCACUUUUAAAAGAAGAGUAUUUAAAAGUGAAGAAGGAAUAUAAAACCAUACUUAAAUUAAAAUCACAACAAUUUAGAGAAAACUAGACUUUACAGAAAACAGAAGAUAAUGAUAAAACCCUUAGAUAUGUUCCCAAGAUACAAACAAAACUAUAUUCCCAUCUCUGAUGGCCUUACACUGGAAAACCAUUUCAAGCAACUACUAACAGACUCUAAGCCUGUAAAUGAGAUACACUCAUAUUCUGACUUGGUAAAUUCUCUUCUCUUUCAUCCAUUUCCUCUAUAAGAGAAUGGGUGAAAGAGAAGACCUAAAUAACUUCAGAGGAAUCUCUCUCUUCUUAUGCCCAUACAAAAUAUUGUCCUCUCUGAUAUAUCACAGAUUAAGAGAUUAUUUAGAUGCUCCUAGCUGAGCAGUUUGGAUUCAGACAAGAUAAAUCAACAUGCCAUGCAAUAAAACAUCUCACAGAUGAUAUUAAAGAAAAUUUGAACAAACUCAAGGGGAGAAACUCUUUUGUGCAUUUAUAAAUUUCAGUAAAGCAAUUGACUUGAUCUCUAG